rnacentral:rRNA from 1 species
CUUGCUCACCAGGAGGAGGUGGAGGUGCAGGGGUUUGGGGGUUGCAGAGUGUCUCCGUCUCCGUCUCUGUCUCGUCUGCGUGGCCGACGUUCCGACCUGGUGGCCGGUGCUCCGGUGCGCAGUCCCUUUGUGGGAGAGGGAGAGAGAGAGGCAGAGGCUUGCUUUUGCCUCCACCAGCCGCAGGUGGAAACGGCCGGGGCAGGAAUUACUGCGCGCCAUUAGAUAGCGGGGCUCGACUCGAAGAUGUCAGUGGCCUCCAGGCCUCACGUGACACUCCGCAGUGUACCAUACCCGAACAUGCAUGCGAUCGAUCGUGUAAAUAAUGCCGUCAGCCGUCCAGCGGGUAGGGGUAGCGCCGGCGGCAGAGGGGGAAGAGCGGAGGUCCAGGUCGAGGUCCAGGGCCGGGCGAAAUUUAGGCGGGGACCGUAGGGAAGGCCGGAGGGAGGGAGGGAGCGAGCGAGCGAGCGAGCGGCGACGAAUCAUCCUCAUAUUAGUCAAGUCUAUUAAUAACCGGCGGUCUAUAAAAGCAGGCGAGUCAAGUCAAGUGGUGGGCGCCACCGGCGGUCACGGGCCUAGCGGCUAGCUGUCUACCUGCGCCGGUAUAGGCGGCGGGUGCUUCGCGGCGGGCGACAGCAGGAGCAGAGGCGGCCGCGGUCGGUGAGGCAGCGGGAGGAGCGCCCGUUACACGACACGUGCACCCCGUCCCCUCUCCUGCCCGUCGACCCGGUGCCCCUGCGGCUCCUGGCGGAGCACGGCUGCCACUAGUCGCCGAAGCUGCGCGGCCCCUAGUGCAGGCAGUAGACGCCCCGCCUGGUGUGGUGGCGGAUGAGGCUCCUGCUCGUGGUCCAGAUGUCGACCCCAACCCCCCUAAAGCCCUCCGACCCCGUGCCGUUGAGGUGGCUGCACAAGUGCGGGGUCGGCCAGUUCCGCGACGUCCCCUAUUUCUAGUUCGUCGAGCGGACACCCCUAUCGGUGACAGACCGGCAGUGGUACCGGCCACUUCACGAGUCGACCCCCGCAUUGGUUUUACCGGUCGAACCAGAACCUUGAUGACUUCUAAGCGACGAGGGUGUUUGCUAAGUUCGAAAACUCCCAUAAAGACACUUGUACUAACGACGACCACGGCUUGUAUGACGACGUCAUUGACUUCUACCGCUUUAGAUACCUACCCCGACCCCAGCCAUGCCUUUGAACCCAGAACCACUAGCCUUACUGGCUAAACAAGGACUUUUUCAUAGAAGUCACCUCCCUCUCUUCUACCACGAACAACGUACGCCUACCGCGGUAUGGUAAUGACAAAGGAGGAGGCCAUCAAACAUGUGAAUGCCAACCUCAUUUAUACCGGUCGAACCAGUACCGCUAAAACUUCUAGUAGAUCAAGGUGUAUUUCAUCUUCGGAAUUUCCUGUCGAGAUGUAGGGUCUAAAGUCCACCUACCUCCGUGUGUUACCGUGAAUGUAGUCUACCUUUUGAAAUACCUACCCCUACCUUGUUCAAACCCGUUCAACCUCGACCGCUAUUACGGCUAGUGACAAGGGGGCGUGUCCAAUUAAAAGGGCUCCUUGUCUUUCAACGGGUUCAACGAACACCUACCUCCGUGUGAGAACGAAAGUGUCUUUUCUUUUUACACAAACGUACCCCUUCCCCAUGAUCACCUGUUGAGCCAGUACCCCUUUAUCAACUGUCCUUAUGUGGACACUAAUAACUACGGGAUUCGGGCCUACCAGGACCGAGGUUCUUCGACCUUAGAAGUCGUCGAUAAGGGAAACGUCGAUUUUAAACCCACAGUGGAAGACUUUCUAUACGAGAACAAGGACUACUCUUCCAACGUUUUGGUCCGCUACAGUCGCGUGCACCGUUACCACGCCUACGCUCACACGGGCUCUUGCUACAUUUCUCUUACGCGCACAGUAGCAUCAAGCUACUGGAUAGUAGAUACGUGGAGUAAUUGGGAUCGUGAUGAUAGUUUUUUGGAACGGGUAACAAGUGGUUAAAGGUGGAUCACCACAGGUCAAUUACACGUAAGGCAAGACGGUUUCAUGAAAGGUCUUCUCCUUGGAGGAAGAGGACCGCAACUCUACUACAUAGUCGUGGAUACCACAUGAAUAUUUGGAGAAUCUCCACCGAUCAUCUUAGUUGGACCUGGACACAAGACUUACAAAGCCAUCGACGUAGGCUGUGGAACAAACCUGCCAUGUUAGUUAUUCGAUAAACAAGAAUAGAGGAU